rnacentral:sRNA from 1 species
UGACUUCAUAAAAGGAGAUGGUUCUUGG